rnacentral:rRNA from 1 species
AUUGAACGCUGGCGGCAGGCAUAACACAUGCACGUCGAGCGGAGCGACGGACGGGUGAGUAAUGCCUAGGAACCCGCCUGGUUGAGCGGGAUAACGACCGGAAACGGGAGAUAAUACCGCAUACUAUCAGAUGAGCCUAGUUCGGAUUAGCUAGUGGGUGGGGUAAAGGCCUACCAAGGCGACUAUCCGUACAUGAUCUGAGAGGAUGAUCCGGCACACUGUAACUGAGACACGGUCCAGUCUCCUACGGGAGGCAGAAGUGGGGAAUAUUGGACAAUGGGCGAAUGCCUGAUCCAGCCAUGCCGCGUGUGUGGAGAAGGUCUUCGGAUUGUAAAUCACUUUGAGUUUGGAGGCGUUACCAACAGAAUAAGGACCUGCUAACUUCCUGCCAGCAACCGCGGUAAUUC